rnacentral:lncRNA from 1 species
CCAAGAAAUUUCCCUCACUUAUCUCAACGUUCACAACACCACCAACCAACUCCACCCAAAAUCCUUAUCAUAUGACAGUUUGGUAAUUCAAAAACUCAGCUAUAAAUAGAGCUGAAUCUCACUCCAAUUCAAACAUCCAACAAACACAUAAACAUAUCUAAUAAUUCAUUUAUAUCAUGGCACUUUCAAAGAAUUUUAUCAUUUUAUUUGGAAUUGUCUUUACUCUUCUCCUCUAUAUUUCAUCAAAUGCAGCGUUAGCUUCACGUCAAUUGUAUCAAUUGUCUGGUAUGUCAGAUAUCUCUAUAUAUAUAUAUUGGAAAUUUUGUUUAUAGAAUUGUCAGAGUAUUACUUUACUAAUCCGUGUUCGCUUUUAUUUAUUUAAUUUUUUGGUGAAUCGCUUUUAUUUAUUUAUUCUAGAGGAAAAAAGAAAUUGCAAUACUGCUGGUCAAGCUCAAGUUGUGGGAUGUGGCAGCCCGACUAGANNNNNNNNNCGCCGCAUUCCAAGGAUCCGCCGAGCGAGCAUACCCCUUGCAAAGGAUGUUAGUAAAACGAUUCGAAGCUUUCGUUAACUUGAUAUGGAUGAUGCUUGAAAUAUGAAGAUGAAUGAAGCUUCUAAUUUAUUAAGACGUACUUACUAAUAAUAUGGCAUGCAAUGUAACAUGCUAGCUUUCUGAAUAAUUAGUGUAUCUUAUUGAAAAGAUUGCGAUUGCAUAAUUUAGUAUCUUAUUGAAAUUUAUUUUUUUGGUUACAGUAUCUUAUUGAAAUGAUUGGCCUUUUCUAUUUCAUUCAUAUAUACUUGUUUUUUAUAAUUAUAAUAAGAAUCGUAAAUGUUGUGUAUAAUAAUAUAUCUCUGGCCAAAUAUGAUCUUGGUCCAAGAUAUGCUCCAAGUUGGCUUUGGCUUUCAAACAAUUGAAAAGGG